AAUAGGAUAAAUUUCUUUUUAAAUUUUACCUGUCAAUUAUCUUUGAAAAUACGUAAUACACUAUAAAUGAAUGAGCCUGAUAAAAAAGAAACAUGUGGCUAUACAACAACUUAGAAAAAGCUUUACCAUACAGUACGGAAGCUUCUGGAAAAUCAAUAACUUACACAACAAGUACUAGAUGGUGUUCAAAACGGUGCGACAUUGUCUCCAUAGAAGUUACAACGCUUAAGUUACAAGCAGCUUUGCCUAAACACUAUCUUUAUCCCAAAUUUCAAGUUUCUAGGGCUGCUAGAAGUACCG
rnacentral:lncRNA from 1 species